rnacentral:rRNA from 1 species
ACACGACGGACGCCGACCGUAGGUAGGGGUAGGGUAACCCGGCGAAAGCCGGACUAAUACCGCAUACGACCUACGGGUGAAAGCAGGGGAUCGCAAGACCUUGCGCUAUUGGAGCGGCCGAUGUCAGAUUAGCUAGUUGGCGGGGUAAGAGCCCACCAAGGCGACGAUCUGUAGCUGGUCUGAGAGGACGACCAGCCACACUGGGACUGAGACACGGCCCAG